GAUGAACGCUGGCGGCGUGCCUAAUACAUGCAAGUCGAGCGAACGGACGAGAAGCUUGCUUCUCUGAUGUUAGCGGCGGACGGGUGAGUAACACGUGGAUAACCUACCUAUAAGACUGGGAUAACUCCGGGAAACCGGAGCUAAUACCGGAUGAUAUUUUGAACCGCAUGGUUCAAAAGUGAAAGACGGUCUUGAUGUCACUUAUAGAUGGAUCCGCGCUGCAUUAGCUAGUUUGUAAGGUAACGGCUUACCAAGGAAACGAUGCAUAGCCGACCUGAGAGGCUGAUCGGCCCCACUGGAACUGAGACACGGUCCAGACUCCUACGGGAGGCAGCAGUAGCGAAUCUUCCGCAAUAGGCGAACGCCUGUCGGAGCCACGCCGCGUGAGUGAUGAAGGUCUUCGGAUCUUAAAACUCUGUUCUUGCGGAGGAACAUAUGUGUAAGUAACUGUGCACAUCUGGACGAUACCUAAUCAGAGAGCCACGGCUAACUGCGUG
rnacentral:rRNA from 1 species